ensembl:snoRNA Gm24981 small nucleolar RNA SNORA17
CCUGCCUCUAGAAGCAUUGCAGGGGUGGCUGCUGUAUCACUGUGUGUCAGUAGGUGGGCAGAGAGGAGAGAGGCUAUGUCUAUGCUCAGUGCUCUGACCUGGGAACAUCUGAGUAAUGAGUAGCCUAACACU